AUGAACGCUGGCGGCGUGCCUAAUACAUGCAAGUCGAGCGAACGGACGAGAAGCUUGCUUCUCUGAUGUUAGCGGCGGACGGGUGAGUAACACGUGGAUAACCUACCUAUAAGACUGGGAUAACUUCGGGAAACCGGAGCUAAUACCGGAUAAUAUUUUGAACCGCAUGGUUCAAAAGUGAAAGACGGUCUUGCUGUCACUUAUAGAUGGAUCCGCGCUGCAUUAGCUAGUUGGUAAGGUAACGGCUUACCAAGGCAACGAUGCAUAGCCGACCUGAGAGGGUGAUCGGCCACACUGGAACUGAGACACGGUCCAGACUCCUACGGGAGUCAGCAGUAGGGAAUCUUCCGCAAUGGGCGAAAGCCUGACGGAGCAACGCCGCGUGAGUGAUGAAGGUCUUCGGAUCGUAAAACUCUGUUAUUAGGGAAGAACAUAUGUGUAAGUAACUGUGCACAUCUUGACGGUACCUAAUCAGAAAGCCACGGCUAACUACGUG
rnacentral:rRNA from 1 species